GGGUAUGGANCUCAGUCGGUAGAGGGCUUGCCUUGUACUCAAGAGGCUCUGGGUCCCAUUCCCAGCACCA
rnacentral:tRNA from 1 species